rnacentral:rRNA from 1 species
GAUGAACGCUAGCUACAGGCUUAACACAUGCAAGUCGAGGGGCAGCAUGGUCUUAGCUUGCUAAGGCCGAUGGCGACCGGCGCACGGGUGAGUAACACGUAUCCAACCUGCCGUCUACUCUUGGACAGCCUUCUGAAAGGAAGAUUAAUACAAGAUGGCAUCAUGAGUCCGCAUGUUCACAUGAUUAAAGGUAUUCCGGUAGACGAUGGGGAUGCGUUCCAUUAGAUAGUAGGCGGGGUAACGGCCCACCUAGUCUUCGAUGGAUAGGGGUUCUGAGAGGAAGGUCCCCCACAUUGGAACUGAGACACGGUCCAAACUCCCACGGGAGGCAGCAGUGAGGAAUAUUGGUCAAUGGGCGAGAGCCUGAACCAGCCAAGUAGCGUGAAGGAUGACUGCCCUAUGGGUUGUAAACUUCUUUUAUAAAGGAAUAAAGUCGGGUAUGGAUACCCGUUUGCAUGUACUUUAUGAAUAAGGAUCGGCUAACUCCGUGCCAGCAGCCGCGGUAAUACGGAGGAUCCGAGCGUUAUCCGGAUUUAUUGGGUUUAAAGGGAGCGUAGAUGGAUGUUUAAGUCAGUUGUGAAAGUUUGCGGCUCAACCGUAAAAUUGCAGUUGAUACUGGAUAUCUUGAGUGCAGUUGAGGCAGGCGGAAUUCGUGGUGUAGCGGUGAAAUGCUUAGAUAUCACGAAGAACUCCGAUUGCGAAGGCAGCCUGCUAAGCUGCAACUGACAUUGAGGCUCGAAAGUGUGGGUAUCAAACAGGAUUAGAUACCCUGGUAGUCCACACGGUAAACGAUGAAUACUCGCUGUUUGCGAUAUACUGCAAGCGGCCAAGCGAAAGCGUUAAGUAUUCCACCUGGGGAGUACGCCGGCAACGGUGAAACUCAAAGGAAUUGACGGGGGCCCGCACAAGCGGAGGAACAUGUGGUUUAAUUCGAUGAUACGCGAGGAACCUUACCCGGGCUUAAAUUGCAGAUGAAUUACGGUGAAAGCCGUAAGCCGCAAGGCAUCUGUGAAGGUGCUGCAUGGUUGUCGUCAGCUCGUGCCGUGAGGUGUCGGCUUAAGUGCCAUAACGAGCGCAACCCUUGUUGUCAGUUACUAACAGGUUCCGCUGAGGACUCUGACAAGACUGCCAUCGUAAGAUGUGAGGAAGGUGGGGAUGACGUCAAAUCAGCACGGCCCUUACGUCCGGGGCUACACACGUGUUACAAUGGGGGGUACAGAGGGCCGCUACCACGCGAGUGGAUGCCAAUCCCCAAAACCUCUCUCAGUUCGGACUGGAGUCUGCAACCCGACUCCACGAAGCUGGAUUCGCUAGUAAUCGCGCAUCAGCCACGGCGCGGUGAAUACGUUCCCGGGCCUUGUACACACCGCCCGUCAAGCCAUGGGAGCCGGGGGUACCUGAAGUGCGUAACCGCGAGGAGCGCCCUAGGGUAAAACUGGUGACUGGGGC